rnacentral:rRNA from 1 species
AGCCUGCGCUGCUUAAGCGUAAGGCAAUGUGGUGUUUAGGCGGGGACCUGGGAUUGGUCAUUGACUCUAAGUCCAUUCUUGAAAAUGGCUGCUAAAACGGGUGAUAGCCCCGUACGAGUCAAUGUAAUGCAUACCUUUCCUCAGAUGUCUCUGCCUUGGAGUCGGAUUGUUUGAGAAUGCAGUCCAAAGUUGGUGGUAAACUCCAUCAAAGGCUAAAUACCUGCGUGAGUCCGAUAGCUAACAAGUACCGUGAGGGAAAGUUGAAAAGUACUCUAAAUAGAGAGUAAACAGUACGUGAAACUACAUGGAGGUUAACCGAACGGAGUCAGACUUCUCGAAUGCUACGAUUUAGCCGGGGUUGUGUGAAUGGUUAGCUUUGCUUUGGGUUUGCUUAAACUCUGUCGUGUGCUUUUGUUACAUUGAACGAGUUCGAGGCAAUGGCUAAUUCCCCGGUGAUUUUGUGGUGUUUAGCAGCUCAUUCAGUGUCCGCUUCUCGUUUCCUUGAUAAACAUGACGCGUUAUGAGCAAUCGUAACAUGUUAUGAUGGCAGAAAUUGGAGUUCCUUCGGGUUCGCCGGUUACUUGGCUUCGGCCUGCUUUCAAGAUAAGCAAGAUAGUGGUUCAUUGGUCGAUGGGCUGAUAGAGCGAUGCUGUGAAUUUACAGGUAUGGUCUAUGUCGUCACUUGUGAGGCAUUAAGCAUACAUGUUAUUGGAUCAGUGUCGUUCGUCAGCUGUUAAAUGAGUUGUCGUAAGGAGACUUUCUGUUCGACCCGUCUUGAAACACGGACCAAGAAGUUUAACAUGUAUGCAAGUCAAGGAGUCUACGAAACUCUAUGGCGCAAUGAAAGUGAAUGACUGCUACAGUAGUCUUAGGUGUGAUCCUUUAAGUUCCCAUCCGGACUUAGAGGCGCAGCACCGGCCCGUCUAUUCAUAUGGUUGCAUAGCUUCGGUUAAGUACGAUAUGGAGGCGGAGCAAGAGCAUACAUGUUGAGACCCGAAAGAUGGUGAACUAUGCUUGCGUAGGUUGAAGCCAGGGGAAACUCUGGUGGAGGACCGAAGCGGUUUUGACGUGCAAAUCGAUCGUCAAACGU